rnacentral:rRNA from 1 species
GGACCGGGAUAACCCUGGGAAACUGGGGAUAAUACUGGAUAGGCAAUUUUUCCUGUAAUGGUUUUUUGUUUAAAUGUUUUUUCGCCUAAGGAUGGGUCUGCGGCCGAUUAGGUAGUUGGUUAGGUAAUGGCUUACCAAGCCGUUGAUCGGUACGGGUUGUGAGAGCAAGAGCCCGGAGAUGGAACCUGAGACAAGGUUCCAGGCCCUACGGGGUGCAGCAGGCGCGAAACCUCCGCAAUGUGAGAAAUCGCGACGGGGGGAUCCCAAGUGCCAUUCUUAACGGGAUGGCUUUUCAUUAGUGUAAAGAGCUUUUGGAAUAAGAGCUGGGCAAGACCGGUGCCAGCCGCCGCGGUAACACCGGCAGCUCUAGUGGUAGCAAUUUUUAUUGGGCCUAAAGCGUCCGUAGCCGGUUUAAUAAGUCUCUGGUGAAAUCCUGCAGCUUAACUGUGGGAAUUGCUGGAGAUACUAUUAGACUUGAGACCGGGAGAGGUUAGAGGUACUCCCAGGGUAGAGGUGAAAUUCUGUAAUCCUGGGAGGACCGCCUGUUGCGAAGGCGUCUAACUGGAACGGUUCUGACGGUGAGGGACGAGAGUUAGGGGCGCGAACCGGAUUAGAUACCCGGGUAGUCCUAACUGUAAACGAUGCGGACUUGGUGUUGGGGUGGCUUUGAGCUGCUUCAGUGCCGAAGGGAAGCUGUUAAGUCCGCCGCCUGGGAAGUACGGUCGCAAGACUGAAACUUA